AGUGAACGCUGGCGGUAGGCCUAACACAUGCAAGUCGAACGGCAGCACAGUAAGAGCUUGCUCUUACGGGUGGCGAGUGGCGGACGGGUGAGGAAUACAUCGGAAUCUACUUUUUCGUGGGGGAUAACGUAGGGAAACUUACGCUAAUACCGCAUACGACCUACGGGUGAAAGCAGGGGAUCUUCUGACCUUGCGCGAUUGAAUGAGCCGAUGUCGGAUUAGCUAGUUGGCGGGGUAAAGGCCCACCAAGGCGACGAUCCGUAGCUGGUCUGAGAGGAUGAUAGGCCACACUAGAACUGAGACACGGUCCAGACUCCUGCGGGAGGCAGCAGUGGGGAAUAUUGGACAAUGGGCGCAAGCCUGAUCCAGCCAUACCGCGUGGGUGAAGAAGGCCUUCGGGUUGUAAAGACCUUUUGUUGGGAAAGAAAAGCAGCAGGUUAAUACCCCGCUGUUCUGACGGUACCCAAAGAAUAAGCACCGGCUAACUUCGUG
rnacentral:rRNA from 1 species